rnacentral:misc_RNA from 1 species
GUAUUUGUUAUAUAGGCACAACAUUCUAUUAACAUACAUUGGGGUAAAAAUGAAGCAACAUAGACCUGAAAGGUCUACAAAAAGUGCACAGGUGGAGAUAUAAAGAUGACAAGGCGUGCACAUGCUCCCUAGAGAGCCAGCAACAACCCAUCAGGUUUAUUUCAAUAAUGAUCCUUCCGCAGGUUCACCUACGGAAA